rnacentral:rRNA from 1 species
GACGAACGCUGGCGGCGUGCUUAACACAUGCAAGUCGAACGAAGUGGCGAACGGGUGAGUAACGCGUAAUCAACCUGCCCUUCAGAGGGGGACAACAGUUGGAAACGACUGCUUAUACCGCAUACUUAAGGCGGGGAUUGCGUCUGAUGAGCGAGUUGGAGGGGUAACGGCCCACCAAGGCGAUGCUCAGUAGCCGGUCUGAGGGGAGUAACGGCCACAUUGGGACUUAGACACGGCCCAGACUCCGUCGGGAGGCAGCAGUGGGGAAGCUUCCGCAAUGGACGAAAGUCUGACGGAGCAACGCCGCGUGAGUGAUGACGGCUUUCGGGUUGUAAAGCUCUGUUAAUCGGGACGCGGUACCGGAAUAGAAAGCCACGGCUAACUACGUGCCAGCAGCCGCGGUAAUAC